UGAAUACAUAGGUUAACGAGGCGAACCGGGGGAACUGAAACAUCUAAGUACCCCGAGGAAAAGAAAUCAACCGAGAUUCCCCCAGUAGCGGCGAGCGAACGGGGGGCAGCCCAGAGUCUGAAUCAGCUUGUGUGUUAGUGGAACGGUCUGGAAAGUCCGACGGUACAGGGUGAUAGUCCCGUACACCAAAAUGCACAGGUUGUGAACUCGAAGAGUAGGGCGGGACACGUGGUAUCCUGUCUGAAUAUGGGGGGACCAUCCUCCAAGGCUAAAUACUCCUGACUGACCGAUAGUGAACCAGUACCGUGAGGGAAAGGCGAAAAGAACCCCGGCGAGGGGAGUGAAAAAGAACCUGAAACCGUGUACGUACAAGCAGUGGGAGCACCUUCGGGUGUGACUGCGUACCUUUUGUAUAAUGGGUCAGCGACUUAUAUUCUGUAGCAAGGUUAACCGUAUAGGGGAGCCGCAGGGAAACCGAGUCUUAACUGGGCGUUAAGUUGCAGGGUAUAGACCCGAAACCCGGUGAUCUAGCCAUGGGCAGGUUGAAGGUUGGGUAACACUAACUGGAGGACCGAACCGACUAAUGUUGAAAAAUUAGCGGAUGACUUGUGGCUGGGGGUGAAAGGCCAAUCAAACCGGGAGAUAGCUGGUUCUCCCCGAAAGCUAUUUAGGUAGCGCCUCGUGAACUCAUCUUCGGGGGUAGAGCACUGUUUCGGCUAGGGGGUCAUCCCGACUUACCAACCCGAUGCAAACUACGAAUACCGAAGAAUGUUAUCACGGGAGACACACGGCGGGUGCUAACGUCCGUCGUGAAGAGGGAAACAACCCAGACCGCCAGCUAAGGUCCCAAAGUCAUGGUUAAGUGGGAAACGAUGUGGGAAGGCACAGACAGCCAGGAUGUUGGCUUAGAAGCAGCCAUCAUUUAAAGAAAGCGUAAUAGCUCACUGGUCGAGUCGGCCUGCGCGGAAGAUGUAACGGGGCUAAACCAUGCACCGAAGCUGCGGCAGCGACACUAUGUGUUGUUGGGUAGGGGAGCGUUCUGUAAGCCUGCGAAGGUGACCUGUGAGGGUUGCUGGAGGUAUCAGAAGUGCGAAUGCUGACAUAAGUAACGAUAAAGCGGGUGAAAAGCCCGCUCGCCGGAAGACCAAGGGUUCCUGUCCAACGUUAAUCGGGGCAGGGUGAGUCGACCCCUAAGGCGAGGCCGAAAGGCGUAGUCGAUGGGAAACAGG
rnacentral:rRNA from 1 species